UCCGCUUCUUAUUUCUCCACUGCUAUACUUCAUUAGUAAAAUCCAGAAUCUCCCAUUCAUCUUCUACGUGCAUUUCAGUUAGGGAACUAUUCAUGUUUUGAUUGUUUGAUGGGAAUAAAUUGGCGAAGACUACAAUAAAGCUGCUUGAUAGUGCUUUGAGCGGCUCAUAUCGAGAGGUAAGGAGUUGAAUUUUCACAUCCUGGGUAAGCUAUAAGAAUUCCUUUGGCAACUUUUAUCUUUCAUUUAUUGGGAUUUUAAUUUUUGCUAUUUUUAAUUCUCCCCUUUCUCACUGCUGUCAGAUUGUUGUUGUUUCAACGGUGAGUGGUAAUCAAAUCUUCACUACUUCUUCAUUUCUAUAAUCUUUUCUUCUGCAUUCUCAGUAUAAGACAACUGCGGCGCCGAGCUUGUUCUCUUGGCUAUUGAAAAUCUUAGUCCUAUUUACUAUAUCUCGCCAGUUAUCUUUGAUUUUUGCAGGUUUAAUGACUUUUGACGAGGAACAAAUGUCGUUGGGGUAUAAAUGGCUAAGGUUAUUCUCCCUAAUUCCAUUCCAUUGCGUCAUUGUGGGAUGGUAUGAAUGAGUUGUUGUGACUUCUAAGCUUUUCCUCCCUUUUUUCGUGGCUAUAUUUCUUAUAUGUGCUUGUAUUUUUGGGUGCAUGUCGGUUCGCUUCUUCUGCUUGAACAAUUAUGCUUAUGAUUUUUUUCACAGUUUAUAACUAUAAUGAUCUGGCUAUGGUAUGAAUAUUCAAUUAAUAAGACAAUUGAUCGUUCCUUCCAACUUGGCAUGCAUAUCCCUUCUACUUGAUUUUCAUAGAGCUAAUGGUUGAGUUGACAUUGGAUGCCAUUGGUGAUUUCUUAAGUUCUUUGUCAGUUGGGAGAUAGAAAUUGAAACAAGUUUAUGUCAAGAAGAGUUGUUUUGCAGUUUCUGAGUAGCGAAAGUAGUUGGUUUACUCUUGAACUUAAAUGCAAAUGCAGAAAUUUCUUUGGUCUCAAAUGUAUCAGAUGUACUAGAUACCUUUGAUCUUUGAAUGAGUAUUAAUCAUUUCAAGACUUGGUUGUAUAUUGAGUUAAUAUAUAAUAUUUGUACAUGAUUUUAUCGUU